rnacentral:misc_RNA from 1 species
CACAGGGUAUGACUUUGCUCCCCUAAAAGGGAGAUCGAAUGCUAUGAAUGGUGUUCAUAGCCUGUGAAAUGAUGCUUUAAGGAGUUUGCAAUAUGAUAAGAGAGCAGAUAGCCGGACAUGAUCUUAUCCUUUCAAGAGGGACAAAAGGUUACUACUAGUGAUGGUGACCUAUGAAAUAGUAUCCCAAAUGGGACUAUAGAGUGAGGUAAAGAGUUGUUAGCUUAGGUAUUCUAGAGAGGGUACAAGUUUCAUUGUAGGAAUCAUAAGUGAUCAGAUCAUGAUAGAUGUAAAGCCUUUGAAUUGAAUAAAUAUCUUAAGUUUUGGCUAAUUGAGUGGAUAUGAAAAAAUAGAAUCCCUGCAGAUCCCCUUCUUAAGGUAGUAGGAGAUAGUAUGUAGUCUAAAGGAUAAGGACAGAGAUCAUACAAUAAAUGCGUGGCUGCAAUUCUCUAAGUUCCUUUUCAACUUCUUAUUACUCGAGAAAAGAGUAUGCUCUAAACAAAUGAUAUUAAGGGCAGUAAGUCAGCAAAGGCAAAUUACAGAAUGUCAGUAAAUAUAAAAAGCGUAGAAGUGAAAAUUUUGACAGUUGAUUGCAGAUGCAGCAUAACCCGAAUGUCAGUAGAAAUACUAGUUAGAGUGAUCAAAGGACUAAUUCUGAGUAACAUUGAGGUGUAGAUGACUUGGUAGAGACAGUAAAAAGGUACAAGUUUCUAACAUGACAGUCAAGUCAAGAAAGAGAAUAGAGUUAAAGAAUAAAAUAGUCAAAGUUCAAAUUUGGAUAAGAUAAAAAGAGUUAGCUAAAGAACAAACUGAAAGGCCCAAAUUAUGAUAAGAUUUGGAAGAUUAGAGUCAGGAUACAGAGGAGACAAAAUGCAGUUCUAGAAAAAGUAAACGAUCUCUUUGGGGGGUGUGGGGCAACGCCUUCGCGAUAUGAAUUAGUAUAAAUAUUAUAAUAUUCUGUUACUUGUGGUAGAGUUAUGACAUAUUCAAGAAACACACUAGAGUUAGGUUUGAGAGUUCUGAAUGAUUGUAUCUUGCUCUUUUCAUC